GCAACAGUGGCUCAGUCGGAUAGAGGUUUCAUUGGGACUCUGAAGGUCCCUGGUUCGAACUCCACCUGUGGCC